rnacentral:rRNA from 1 species
AGCAGCCGCGGUAAUUCCAGCUCCAAUAGCGUAUAUUAAAGUUGUUGCAGUUAAAAAGCUCGUAGUUGAAUUUCGGGAUCAGUACGCUGGUCGUGCCUUUGGUAUGUACUGGUGUCACUGAUUCCUCCCUUCUGAAGAACCGUUAUGCCAUUUAUUUGGUGUGGCGGGGAAUCAGGACUGUUACUUUGAAAAAUUAGAGUGUUUAAAGCAGGCUCGCGCUUGAAUACAUUAGCAUGGAAUAAUGAAAUAGGACGUUUGAUCUUAUUUUGUUGGUUUCUAGGAUCGACGUAAUGAUUAAUAGGGAUAGUUGGGGGCAUUAGUAUUCAAUUGUCAGAGGUGAAAUUCUUGGAUUUAUUGAAGACUAACUACUGCGAAAGCAUUUGCCAAGGAUGUUUUCAUUAAUCAAGAACGAAAGUUAGGGGAUCGAAGACGAUCAGAUACCGUCGUAGUCUUAACCAUAAACUAUGCCGACUAGGGAUCGGAUGAUGUUAUUUUUAAUGA